rnacentral:rRNA from 1 species
AUUGAACGCUGGCGGCAUGCUUUACACAUGCCAGUCGAACGGUAACAGCACUUCGGUGGCUGACGAGUGGCGAACGGGUGAGUAAUACAUCGGAACGUGCCUAGUAGUGGGGAUAACUACUCGAAAGAGUAGCUAAUACCGCAUGAGAUCUAAGGAUGAAAGCAGGGGACCUUCGGGCCUUGCGCUACUAGAGCGGCUGAUGGCAGAUUAGGUAGUUGGUGGGAUAAAAGCUUACCAAGCCGACGAUCUGUAGCUGGUCUGAGAGGACGACCAGCCACACUGGGACUGGGACACGGCCCAGACUCCUACGGGAGGCAGCAGUGGGGAAUUUUGGACAAUGGGCGCAAGCCUGAUCCAGCAAUGCCGCGUGCAGGAUGAAGGCCUUCGGGUUGUAAACUGCUUUUGUACGGAACGAAAAGCCCUCUUCUAAUACAGGAGGGUCAUGACGGUACCGUAAGAAUAAGCACCGGCUAACUACGUG